UACGUAGGGUGCAAGCGUUGUCCGGAAUUAUUGGGCGUAAAGAGCUCGUAGGCGGUCUGUCGCGUCGGAUGUGAAAAUCCAGGGCUCAACCCUGGACCUGCAUUCGAUACGGGCAGACUAGAGUUCGGUAGGGGAGACUGGAAUUCCUGGUGUAGCGGUGAAAUGCGCAGAUAUCAGGAGGAACACCGGUGGCGAAAGCGGCGUGCUGGACCUUUUCUGACGCUGAGGCGCGAAAGCUAGGGGAGCAAACGGG
rnacentral:rRNA from 1 species